rnacentral:rRNA from 1 species
UAGGGAAUCUUCCACAAUGGGCGCAAGCCUGAUGGAGCAACACCGCGUGAGUGAAGAAGGGUUUCGGCUCGUAAAGCUCUGUUGUUGGAGAAGAACGUGCGUGAGAGCAACUGUUCACCNCGUGCCGGUACCCAACCAGAAAGUCACGGCUCACUACGUACCAGCAGCCGCGGUAAUACGUAGGUGGCAAGCGUUAUCCGGAUUUAUUGGGCGUAAAGCGAGCGCAGGCGGUUGCUUAGGUCUGAUGUGAAAGCCUUCGGCUUAACCGAAGAAGUGCAUCGGAAACCGGGCAACUUGAGUGCAGAAGAGGACAGUGGAACUCCAUGUGUAGCGGUGGAAUGCGUAGAUAUAUGGAAGAACACCAGUGGCGAAGGCGGCUGUCUGGUCUGCAACUGACGCUGAGGCUCGAAAGCAUGGGUAGCGAACAGG